rnacentral:lncRNA from 1 species
CCAGAACAAAUUUUAAUCCUGUUCGGUCAAAUUUUAGCUCAAUUCUAAAGAUCUUCUGCUACUUCCGUUUAUCCAUGGAUUUAAGGUAUAUUCUUUCUCAAUCUCUUAUGGCUUCUUUGUAUAUUGCUCACAAAAAUAAAUUAUAUUUCAAAUAUCUCAUAAUUAUAGAUUCUAGAUGUUGAAGCUCUUCUACACUUGAAAUUAGUAGUACCAAAAUACAAAAUUCACUUGUCAUAUUAGUGAAUAUCCUGCAGUAAAUUGUUUAAUAACACCCCUAGGAAGAGUACAAAAGCAGAUUCAAAUAUAUUCAUACAAAAUAGAGGGUCCUAUUAUGCUUCAAUUAAUGCCGACACUGGUUAUUGUUUGAGUUGGGUAUUGACUGCAACAUGCUGUCUACAAGCUUGAUUCUUGAGUCAACAAUUGGGUGAAAGUACUAUUUGAAUUUUCAUAUAGCUGCAUAUUUGAAAUUGGAAGGAAAAUACAUAUUAAAAUUAUUAGAUGACAGAAAGGUGCAAAAACCAUUAACAAAAAAUAUUUAACUUGGACGUGUAUAGAGAUUAAACUUCAAAACGUAAUCCCGUGGACGCAUGUGGUAGUCCUACUUUAGCUUUUGAUGCCUUUUGAGAUGUCUUUCUCCUUCUUUGCUCAGUAAUUGACUUUAAUCUCCCAUAUACCUUUUCCUUUCCUUUUUUCUUUAUUGGAUCCAGAAUAUGAUCCAUACCACCUAGCAGAGGAUCAGUAGUUGAAAUAAACUUAUGCCGAUCUUUAUCACGACCAUCUACAUAUAAUGCACUUUGGAGCUUAGUUAUCUCAACCUUUUCUUGAUACAAAUAUUUUCUAGCAAUUUCCUCGGAGUCGACAUCAUUUGCUGCUAAAGUCAUAACUAUAAAUGACACCUUCAUUAAACCAUUUAAGCGAAUUGCCAUAGAGGAUUUUAACGGUUCCUUCUUAUUGAUGUACUCCUCAAAUCCAUUACUAUGUUUAGCAUUCUUAGUCCAUCUUUUCAAAAUGUAUUGCUCCGGGAUACAAGAAAAGUUCAAGUCAAAGAACAAAAUUCUUAGUGCAUGACAACAUAGCCAACCCAUGGAUUCAAACAUCUGGCAACUACAAAUAAUGGAUUUGUCCAGAGAAUUGAACUGGACGAUUUCAGUUUGCCCACUUUCACCCUUUAAAACUGUAAACUUACUACAAGUCCCAUUAGUAUUAACAUUGACUACUUUUUUGGUUGUCCCUUGCAAAAAUUCAUGUUGAAAUCUGGAAAAAAUUCUUCUAGUGUAAACACUAGCAGCAUGCUUUAAGAUCCCACAAUCUUGUAUGGAAAGUUUAGGUUUUCCUCGACACUUGUAAUUCUCAGUUACCUCAAUAUCACGCAUUUCAGUUGCUCGUUGCUCAUAGUGCAAACGCUAUGGCAUGAGCUUGAUCGGUAAAAUUGUUCUUGGUGCUUUUCCUCCCAUUGCCUUCAAAAAUGUUUGAAAUAACCAAACAAAAGAAUCAAUCGUUUCAUCGUACAAUAAUGCACAUCCAAAGAAAACAUUUUUCCAAUGAUUAUUCACACCAACAAAUGGAGCACAAAUCAUGUUAUAUCUAUUUGUACGAUAUGUAGUGUCAAAAAUCAUCACAUCCCCAAAACACUCAUAGUGCAAUCUAGAUAUGCUAUCUUUCCAAAAGAAGUUGCACAAUAUGCCAUCUUCAUCAACUUGAAAAAAAAUAAAAGAAGUUUGAAUCCUCUGCUUGCAAAUGCAUAAAAUGAUUUACCAAAGUUUGAGCAUCUCCACUACUAAUCAUGUUUCUCUUGUGUGCUUGUAUGAAGUUAUGAGCAUCUUGUUCAGUAAAUCCUGCAUUUUCAAUUCCACCAGCUUCAUUCUGAAGGUAUCGAACAACCUUUUUGCACGAAUACCAGCAUCAACCAUAGAACCAAGAAUGUUUUUGGUAGCACUUGUAAGCUUUCGACCAGAUUGUAUGAAAUGUCUCAAGUUCUAUUCUAUCAUGAGAUGGUUAUGCAUAUCAUUGAAUUCACAUACUUCCCAUGUCCCAUUUGAAAUUUUGAAUUUUAUACGAGCCAGACAACCACAUCUAUAUUCUAACCUUUGUCGCUUUCUUUCUUGAAAAGGGGAAAGCUUGUCAUAUUUCCCUUCACAAGAACAAAGAAAUAAGCAUCUAGUAAUUUCUUUGUUUCUAUUAAGAGUUUUUGGUCCUUUUCGAACACCGAACCCUUUUUCCACGGCGUAGGAAUUGUAUGCAUUGUAUGAUUCUUCUUCGGAACCAAAUUUCAAGUCAUUCUUAAAAGCAAAGUUCUUGUCGAUAUUAUACACAUUAUGUAUCAUUGUGGAAUUUUUCUCAUCAUUUGAAUUAUGAUCUUGGUAAAAAACAGGAGUAGUAGGCAUUGUCGUAGUCUCCAUAACGAAAUUAACUCCACCUCUAGCCACUGGUACAAUAGUUUCUGUUGUUUUAGGAAACAAAAGCAAAUCCCUCUUAGAACACAAAAUUAGAAAAUAAACUUAGAGUGAAUUCCCCUCCCUGUCCAGCUAUACAUACUGAAGCUAAGUCCUUGAUAAGAUUUUUUUCAUUAUUGUCUAUUCUUUAUCACUAAAAGAUUACAAUGAUAAAAUUUAGUCUAUUCUUAGGCAUUAUUCUUUGUCACUAUAGUUGUGAAUGAAAUCUUUUGUGCAAAUUUGGCCCACCAUCUCAUUUUAGCACUAAAAGAUUACAGUUAUAAUAAAAGUUCAUAUUGAUCUUAUUUUAAAUUUAUAGUAAACAAUAUUUUUGUAUUGAUAAUUUUUCUUGCAGGUAUGGUAGCAAAAUGGAUCAAAUGCAAAAGUCUCAAUCAGUGGGCACAAAUUUGUAUUUGUUAACAAGAAUACAUAAAUUUUAUAUUGAUAAGAAGAGUAUUUUGUGAGCAUAAUUUUGUAUUUCACACUGAUAUUGACAAGAAGAGUAUUUUGUGAGUACAAUUCUGUAUAUCGAUG